rnacentral:rRNA from 1 species
CGUGAGGAACCUGCCUUGGAGAGGGGGAAUAACACUCCGAAAGGAGUGCUAAUACCGCAUGAUGCAGUUGAGUCGCAUGGCUCUGACUGCCAAAGAUUUAUCGCUCUGAGAUGGCCUCGCGUCUGAUUAGCUAGUAGGCGGGGUAACGGCCCACCUAGGCGACGAUCAGUAGCCGGACUGAGAGGUUGACCGGCCACAUUGGGACUGAGACACGGCCCAGACUCCUACGGGAGGCAGCAUG